rnacentral:tRNA from 1 species
GGUAGCUCAGUGGCAUAGUACAUGCCUAGCAAGUAAGAGUCUCUGGGUUCAAUUCCCAGUACCA